AUAAAAUUUUCUCUGACAUUUUUCAAAUUGCUGUGGCCAUAACGUCUCACCUACAGUAUAUUGUUUGCAAUGUUCUGAUUUGCGGUUUCGCAGGAAAGAUCAAUAAUUCACCUUCAUUGCUGUUGUCAGCGACUCGACUGUUAAGAUUUCGGAUUACGGAACUGGAAUGGCAUAUCGUCUUGGCAAAUCGGACAAAGAUGACGGAAAUCUGUUCAAGAAAAUAGAUAAGGAAUACCGAAGUUUAAAGGAAGAAAUAAUCAAAGAAAGGGACGAAGACCGACAAAAGGUCAUUACACUCCAGCAGAAGGUGGCCGAGUGCACCCACACCAUCGAGCAACAGAAGUCCCG